rnacentral:rRNA from 1 species
UACGGAGGGUGCAAGCGUUAUCCGGAUUCACUGGGUUUAAAGGGUGUGUAGGCGGCCACCGCAAGUCAGUUGUGAAAUCUCUGGGCUUAACCCAGAAAGGUCAACUGAUACUGCGGGGCUAGAGUGCAGAAGGGGCAACUGGAAUUCUCGGUGUAGCGGUGAAAUGCGUAGAUAUCGAGAGGAACACCUGCGGCGAAGGCGGGUUGCUGGGCUGACACUGACGCUGAAGCGCGAAAGCUAGGGGAGCGAACGGG